rnacentral:tRNA from 2 species
GCCCCGGUGGCGAAAUUGGUAGACGCACAGGACUUAAAAUCCUGGGCUUCCUUUACAGGGGCGUGCCGGUUCAAUUCCGGCCCGGGGCACCA